rnacentral:rRNA from 1 species
AGGACGAACGCUGGCGGCGUGCUUAACACAUGCAAGUCGAGCGGAAAGGCCCUUCGGGGUACUCGAGCGGCGAACGGGUGAGUAGCACGUGAGCAACCUGCCCUUAGCUUCGGGAUAGCUCCGGGAAACCGGAAUUAAUACCGAAUAUGAAUGCGGCUGACAUCAGCCACAUUGGAAAGUUUUUCGGCUAGGGAUGGACUCGCGGCCUAUCAGCUAGUUGGUGAGGUAACGGCCCACCAAGGCGACGACGGGUA